CAGAACUAGCUUGCUAGUUGCUGACGAGUGGCGGACGGGUGAGUAACGCGUAGGAAUCUACCGAGUAGUGGGGGACAACAGUUGGAAACGACUGCUAAUACCGCAUAAUCCCUGAGGGGGAAAGGAGGGGAUCUGUUUACAGACCUUUCGCUAUUUGAUGAGCCUGCGUGAGAUUAGCUAGUUGGUGAGGUAAUGGCUCACCAAGGCGACGAUCUCUAGCUGGUCUGAGAGGAUGAUCAGCCACACUGGAACUGAGACACGGUCCAGACUCCUACGGGAGGCAGCAGUGGGGAAUAUUGCACAAUGGGGGAAACCCUGAUGCAGCCAUGCCGCGUGUGUGAAGAAGGCCUUCGGGUUGUAAAGCACUUUCAGCGAGGAGGAAAGGAGUAUGUUUAAUAAACGUGCUCUGUGACGUUACUC
rnacentral:rRNA from 1 species